rnacentral:ncRNA from 1 species
AAAAAUGCUAUGACAAGAAAUAGUAGCAUAAGAUAAACUGACAGAGAGGGAUCCUCAAGGCUGAAAAGGAUCUUCAGUGUAACUUAUGUGAAUGCAUCUUUGAGCACUGCUUCGAAAUUUAGUAGACGGCAGCGGGUACGCCCGUUAAAGCGUUAGGAUAUGUCAGUAUCUGAUUUAAUAAGAUGCUAAGGUAUUUUAUACCUUUAGUAAUUAGAGUGGAACCGCGGAAUAAAACUUCUGCCUCUAUG